rnacentral:rRNA from 1 species
UACGGAGGAUGCAAGCGUUACUCGGAAUCACUGGGCGUAAAGGACGCGUAGGCGGAUUAUCAAGUCUUGUGUGAAAUCUAGUGGCUUAACCACUAAACUGCAUAGGAAACUGAUAGUCUAGAGUAGGGGAGAGGUAGAUGGAAUUCUUGGUGUAGGGGUAAAAUCCGUAGAGAUCAAGAGGAAUACUUAUUGCGAAGGCGAUCUACUAGAACCUAACUGACGCUGAGGCGUGAAAGCGUGGGUAGCAAACAGGAUUAGAUACCCUGGUA